GACGAACGCUGGCGGCGUGCCUAACACAUGCAAGUCGAACGGAGAUACGAUUUCGGUUGUAUCUUAGUGGCGAACGGGUGAGCAACGCGUGAGCAACCUGACCUUUAGAGGGGGAUAACACUUGGAAACAGGUGCUAAUACCGCAUAAGACCACGACCUGACAUCAGGAUGAGGUCAAAGGAGCAAUCCGCUAAAGGAGGGGCUCGCGUCCCAUUAGAUAGAUGGCGGGGUAACGGCCCACCAUGUCGACGAUGGGUAGCCGAGCUGAGAGGCUGAUCGGCCACACUGGAACUGAGACACGGUCCAGACUCCUACGGGAGGCAGCAGUGGGGAAUAUUGGGCAAUGGGCGCAAGCCUGACCCAGCAACGCCGCGUGAGGGAAGAAGGGCCUUCGGGUUGGCAAACCUCUGUCCUUGGUGACGAACAAAUGACGGUAGCCAAGGAGGAAGCCCCGGCUAACUACGUGCCAGCAGCCGCGGUAAU
rnacentral:rRNA from 1 species